rnacentral:tRNA from 1 species
GCGGCCUUGGUGAAGCGGUAUCACGUCAGCCUUCCAAGCUGAAGUCACCGGUUCGACCCCGGUAGGCCGCU